UACGGAGGGUGCAAGCGUUAUCCGGAUUCACUGGGUUGAAAGGGUGCGUAGGCGGGUUGGUAAGUCCGUGGUGAAAUCUCCGAGCUUAACUCGGAAACUGCCGUGGAUACUAUCAAUCUUGAAUAUCGUGGAGGUAAGCGGAAUAUGUCAUGUAGCGGUGAAAUGCUUAGAGAUGACAUAGAACACCAAUUGCGUAGGCAGCUUACUACACGAUCAUUGACGCUGAGGCACGAAAGCGUGGGGAGCAAACAGG
rnacentral:rRNA from 1 species